UUCCAAACAGACAGAGGCUUCAGCGGCAGGAUCUGGGGUUCUGAUACUCACACAGGGACUGAAGAUGUGGCACUCGGCCACAGGUGGGAACCCUCCUAAAGCCUGGGGCGGCUGAGCAGCUCAGUUGGGAAGCAGACAGAGCCAAGGGCAACAGGGCUCCAUUUCAAACACAAGACACAAUCUAUAAAAUCAGGUGCUGGCGGUGGAGGGUCAAGAGUCUCACUCCCAGAAUUACAGCUGUGACACCUCUGAGGGGGAACUAAGGGAGUCUCUAGGACAAAUGUACCCUUGCAAGGACAGAGAACAGAACUAAGGACAGAUUCUCUCCAACCCAUAUUCAGUAGCACCCGGGGCCAACGCCUUACCACAGUUCACGGUGACAAACGCAGAAGCAGAGAUUUCACUAACUCCUGCUGUUGGUGGUGGUCAUAUGGCGAACACUGGACUUGGAACACAAGAAAGCCUGCAAGAUCCACCUAAGACCUUUUCAUAUGGCCCUGAAUCUCAAAGUAACAUUAAACUGCCAAGCAACAUGGCAUGUGAGUACUUUAAAGAAACGUUCAUCAAGAGAUUUUUCUACAGGAGUGUGGACGUGCAUUCCACGUUUGGGUUCCUCACUAACCAGGGACCGCUGCUUCCUCACUCUGACAAUAAAGACCUGUCACCAUUUCUUGCUGUUCUUGGUCUCUACCUUUCUUGUAGCUGGAACAAAGACUGGGCUGAGGGUGGAGUUCAAGAGAUGGUGCACCACGGGCAGAGAACUCAUUCUUUCCUCUCCUCUGGGAAGGGCCUGCAACUGGGUAAUGGUCCUCUCAGUUCCGUACUGGAGUUCUUCAAAGCUUGUGGGGCAAACUCAGCUGUGUGGUGUGUUGCCACCCUUGCUCUUCGGAUCCCCAUUUCCCUGGAAGAACCAAGGAGAGAGAGCUCUCUUUUCCAGUGCAGGCCACCAGCCUCCUUCCAUGACAACACAAGCAUUGGCUUUGGGAAGUUGCCAACUUUCUCAUGUGGGACUUGA